GAUGAAGAACGUAGCGAAAUGCGAUAAGUAAUGUGAAUUGCAGAAUUUAGUGAAUCAUCGAAUCUUUGAACGCACCUUGCGCCCUUUGGCCAUUCCGAAGGGCAUGCCUGUUUGAGUAUCAUGAACACCUCAACUCUUCAUGGUUUUCCGUGAUGAGCUUGGACUUUGGGGGUCUUGCUGGCCUAUGGUCAGCUCCUCUAAAAUAAAUCAGCUUGCCAGUGUUUGGUGGGUAUCACAGGUGUGAUAACUAUCUACGCUUGUGGUUUUCCACCAGGUAACCUUCAGCAGUGGAGGUUCGCUGGAGCUCACAGAUGUGUCUCUCCUCAGUGAGGACAGCUCUUUGAAUGUUUGAUCUCAAAUCAGGUAGGACUACCCGCUGAACUUAAGCAUAUCAUAAGCGGAGGA
rnacentral:misc_RNA from 1 species